rnacentral:lncRNA from 1 species
AUCCCUUCCACGAAUCUUCUAUCUCUAUUUAUAUCCAUUUAAUAUAAUUGCUAUAACUAUUAGAAUUAAUGACUUUCAAUUCUUUCAAAGCACACAAUAUGACAAUUUUUAGGAAGACACACCCUUGGAAUUUAUUCAUAUACUUGGUCAAAUAUUAUGACCACAAUCUCCUGCGGCUUUGCUUCUGAUUUAAUGAAGC